rnacentral:rRNA from 1 species
UACAGAGGUCUCAAGCGUUGUUCGGAUUCAUUGGGCGUAAAGGGUGCGUAGGCGGCGCGGUAAGUCGGGUGUGAAAUCUCGGAGCUUAACUCCGAAACUGCAUUCGAUACUGCCGUGCUUGAGGACUGGAGAGGAGACUGGAAUUUACGGUGUAGCAGUGAAAUGCGUAGAUAUCGUGAGGAAGACCAGUGGCGAAGGCGGAUCUCUGGACAGUUCCUGACGCUGAGGCGCGAAGGCCAGGGGAGCAAACGGG